rnacentral:lncRNA from 1 species
UGGGGAACAAGCCAAUUUCCUGCCUUCCCUAGCCCAUUCGCUGCUCAAUGGGUCAGUCAGCGGUAUGGAAAGUGGCAAGAAGCACACCCAAGCAACAAUGACGGUAAGGGAUACCGUGGCAAACCCCGAUUUCAAUCCCUCUCAGAUGUCCAUGGCCCUCAGGACCAAAAGAUGAUGAAAUUACACUGCGAAAUUCCAAAGAUAAAAGUAGCCCAAUCAGAAAGCAAACUACUGAUGCAUUAAGAGUAAGAUCGAGCAGUGACAGACUGGGAUGGAGGGCAGAAAGAAUGGAAGUCAAAGCCCAAGGAGAGAGAGAGCCAUGUCUUUCUUAGGACACCAUCCCCGAUGUGAAAUGCCAGCUCCCUCUUUGUCUUCUGCCAUGAUUGUAACUUUCCUGAGGCCUCUCCAGAAGCUGAGUAGAUGCUGCCAUGUUUCCUAGCCUGUGGAACACUUAUUUAUUAUUUGAACCCUGACUAUUAGUGCUGCCAUGGCUGCUAUUUUUCUUUGAAAAGAGAAAAACAUCUGCAGAGGAAAAUUUCCAUGUGCAAAAUAACACUUGCUUUAUUUAUCUCUAAUAUUCAAGGUUAGAUAAGCACGGAAUGCUAAGAAAUACCUUCAAGCUCAGCUCCUACUUUCAUGGAGCUCCAGUCAAAUAAGGAGAAAGUCACAUAAAUAAACAAUACUGGCAUACACUAAGAAAAUUUCACCAGUGCUUCUGUAGUUACCAUUGCCCUCAUUCUCUCACUGAUUUCCCUGUGUGCCACAGGAGACAGAGAGAAAAAGAGAUUCACUUCAAGAGGCUAGAUGAAAUCAUCUAUCCUAACUUCUUCAGCAAAACAAUGGGGAAGUAAUAUUUCUAAGUGAGGAAAUGGAUCAGCCACGCUGGAUGGAAGCCUGUCAGCAAUUUGAUUUAUGGGGCCUGUGUCCUAGUUUCCUUCCCCAAACCUUAAACAAAUAGGCUUUCAUUCAAUCAUUACAGUUUUAUUCCUUUGAGGUUUGGGGCUUUUAAACCUCAAGACAUUGAUUAAAUCUCUCUUAGUAGUCACAAGUUGUGUUAUUACCAGUAUCCUUGGCAGAAAUUUCUAAGAUUUGCUCAUCCAAUAGAGACCCGAGAAAGGAAGAAAUCUGAGUAAAAUGACAGGCAAAAUUCUAAGUUUUGCUGACUUCCCGAUUUUUCCAAGGGAAGCUGUUGGUGGCAUGCCAUAUCAAUGCUCCUUUGGGGUCCUCUUGGUUCCCAGGAUAUUUAUUUGGAGUAGGCUGGCCUAGGUUACAAGCACUCUAAAGCUAUGAAACAGAAAUUUAAAAAAUCAAUUUCUCUCAUGCUGAGAAUGAAUGUCAUGACCUUGGUUUAAGGCAGUUCUCUCCAAACAGUCAUCCCACACCUUGAUAAAGGCAGCUGGAGCCAACAGCAUGUAUUUGGUACUGCCAACACCGUGAGUGGAAACAGCUCUCCAUUUCGCACCCAGUUAAAAAGCCUAAAGCCCUUUUCCAGGAAUGACCUUUGAGGAUUCUCACCAGGAUGCUAGCCUUCUACAAUAUAUAAUAAAGGCUUGUCAGAUAACUGUGUAGUACUCUAACAUAUGACCCCAGUGUUGGGAUCACUCAGAGACCAGGGCCUGAGAUUCAAUAUAUCUUGUCGAAAGAAUGCAAAACUUUCAGAAUACAUUAUGGUGAAGUUUGCAAAUCCCACAUACAUAAAUUAGGAAAUCUGCUUGAUAGACUUGAAUGUCACUGAAUCUUUGUCGGGCACCUUGCUAGGUGUGGAUACUGAGCAGGGCUGCUUCUGGAGCAGGAAGAAUAGGCAGCUUUGCAGACAUGUUUGCCUAUCUUUCCAUACCACAGAACUCUGGGGCUACUGAACCUUCACUUCCUCACAUCCUACCAUGUUCACCUCCCAUAUGACUUUGUAAGUACUAUUUCUUCAUCGAGAAGAAGGUGGAAUGGUAGAAGAUAGGAAAGAAAGAAAGGUAAGAAAAUAAGCAGAAGCAAAAAUGCAAUUUUUCCAACAUUACUAAUCAUCAGGGAAAUGCAAUCAAAACUACACUGAGAUAUCAUUUCACUUUAGUUAGAAUGGCUAUUAUUAAAAAAAAUAACAAAUGCUGGCAAGGAUGUAGAGAAAAGAGAACUCUUACACACUAUUGGUGGGAAUGUAAAUUGGAAAAUCAAUUACGUAAAACAGCAUGGAAGUUCUUAAAAAAAGCUAAAAAUAAAACUACUAUAUAAUCUAGCAAUUCUACUGGGUAUUUAUUCAAAGUAAAGGAAUCAAUAUGUUGAAGAGAGAUCCACAUUCCUAUGUUUAUUGCAGCACUAUUCACAAGAGCUGAGAUAUGAAAUCAACCUAAAUGUUCAUCAGCAGAUAAAUGGAUAAAGAAAAUAUGGUAUAUAUACACAAUGGAACACUAUUCGGCCAAAAAAAAAAAAAAACAAGAAUGAAAUCAUGUCAUUCAUGGAAAAAUGGAUGAGGCUGAAGGACAUUAUGUUAAGUGAAAUAAGUCAGGCACAGAAAGAUAAAUACCACAUGUUUUCACUCAUACAUGGAAGCUAAACAAAUUUGAGUUGAUACAAGUAGAAAGUAGAAUUGUGAUUCUUAGGGCUAGGAAGGGUAGUAGGGAGGGGAGGAUAGGAAAAGUUUGGUUAAUGGGUACAAAAUUACAGCUAAAUGGGAGAAAUGACUUAUUGGGUCUUACAGCACUGUAGGAUAAAUAUGCUUAACUAUUAUUUAUUGCAUGUUUUCAAAAAGCUAGAAGACAAGAUUUUGAAUGUAUACAACACAAAUUAUAAAUCUUUGAGGUGAUAGAAAUAAUAAUAUCCUUGAUUUGAUCAUUACACAUUGCAUAUGUAUUGAAAUAUCACUCUAUAUCCCAUAAUUAUGUAAAAUUAUAAUAUGUCAACUAAAAAUAAAAGUAAAAAAAUAAAUACAAUUUAAAAAUAAAACUUUUGGGACUGAUGGGCAUGCUGAUUAUUUUGACUAUGGUGGUGACUUCCCAAAUAUGUAAGUGUCAAAACUUAUAAAAUGUUCACUUAAAUAUGUGCAGUUUAUUAUAUGUCAAUUAUA